GUCUACGGCCAUGCCACCCUGAACAAGCCCAAUGUCUGAUCUCGUGAAGCUAAGCAGGGCCAAGUCUGGUUAAUACUUCGAUGGGAGACCACCUAGGAAGACCAGGUGCUAUAGGCA
rnacentral:rRNA from 1 species